rnacentral:rRNA from 1 species
CCGGGGCCCCCUUCGCCUGCUGAAAGCCUUGGCCGCAGCGACUCGAAAUAAAUGCGUAGUCGGUUAACACUGUUUACCGGCCACACUGUCACUGUGCUGGAAGCCUUUCUGAGGUUACCAGCAACCCGGGUCCCUUGUGGUUCCGGGCCCACAGAUCAAACGACGGUGGCCGCCUCCCGGGGCGGUUUAGAUAUGACCGAAACUCUAGAGGCUUCUUUGGAGUAACUUUUGUUCCGUAGGUGAACCUGCGGAAGGAUCAUUACCGAGAUUAGGGUCCUUUUCGGGAUUCGACCCUCCCACCCUUUGUGUAUAUACCUCUGUUGCUUCGGCGGCUCCCGCGGCUUACGGUAGUGCUUGACACGCCGAGCCCGGCCCGCCAGAGGCCCAUUUAAUUCUGACUUAUCAGUGAUGUCUGAGCACAAUGCAAAAAUAAAUCAAAACUUUCAACAACGGAUCUCUUGGUUCUGGCAUCGAUGAAGAACGCAGCGAAAUGCGAUNNNGUAAUGUGAAUUGCAGAAUUCAGUGAAUCAUCGAAUCUUUGAACGCACAUUGCGCCCUCUGGUAUUCCGGGGGGCAUGCCUGUUCGAGCGUCAUUACACCUCUCAAGCUCUGCUUGGUAUUGGGCUAUCGUCCCCCGUGGACGGGCCUGAAAAUCAGUGGCGGUCCCGCCGGUACUCAAGCGCAGUUAAUUAUCUCCCGCUUUGGAGUCACCGUUUGGACCCGCCAGACAACCCUAAUUGUAUUUCAAUGGUUGACCUCG